rnacentral:rRNA from 1 species
CCUACGGGAGGCAGCAGUGGGGAAUAUUGGGCAAUGGGCGCAAGCCUGACCCAGCAACGCCGCGUGAAGGAAGAAGGCUUUCGGGUUGUAAACUUCUUUUCUCAGGGACGAAGCAAGUGACGGUACCUGACGAAUAAGCCACGGCUAACUACGUGCCAGCAGCCGCGGUAAUACGUAGGUGGCAAGCGUUAUCCGGAUUUAUUGGGUGUAAAGGGCGUGUAGGCGGGAGCGCAAGUCAGAUGUGAAAACGCAGGGCUCAACCCUGAGCGUGCAUUUGAAACUGUGUUGCUUGAGUGCUGGAGAGGCAAGCGGAAUUCCGGGUGUAGCGGUGAAAUGCGUAGAUAUACGGAGGAACACCAGUGGCGAAGGCGGAUUGCUGGACAGUAACUGACGCUGAGGCGCGAAAGCGUGGGGAGCAAACAGGAUUAGAUACCCUAGUAGUC